CCCGCCGUCCAGAUGCGAUUGUUCGACUCGAAGUGGCGCAUCAGCCCGCACUCGUCCAGGUCCGCGUCCGGGAUGCCGUAGUUGCCGAUCAGCGGUUCCUCGUGUCUCGGGAUAAAGUGCUUUGAAGAUGGCAUCUCGGGCACACACACACACACAAACACGCACAAGCCUGAUUUAUCGCGUUUGCUCAAGCAUAACCGGCAUGGACUCGAUUCUCGCUCCACAUCUUUCGGACAAACGCAAACGGGUUCGAAAAAAAAAACAAAAACCAAACUACACCAGCAAUGGAGAGUUACUUUUCAAAAUGCUUACGGAAUGAAUCCUUCAACCGAUUUGCUGAUUCCCCUUUAAAUCCUUUAACGUUUUUAACUACGCUUCCAGUAGGAUGGCGCACGUGUAAAUGAUCGUCAACACUUUUCUAACCUCAACCGCAGCGAUUGUUUGUUUGCUGUUGAUUUUUUUUUCUUUUCUGUUUCUCUCUCGUCAAUCACACACAUGUGCGUUUUCGGUAAAUCAUGCACCGUGCGUAGGAAAGAGACAGGAUCACAUCUGUCCACAUCUGAAAGUGGAUUUGAUUGUGGCUGUGAUACCCCAUACAUUGCGACGCUUAUUGUUACUGCUCUAGCUAGACAAAAACCGGUUUGCUUUGUUUGUGGGCAACAUGGUCGAUAUCAAGGGCAGUGUAGGAACGAGGUCAAGUAAUGUAUAACGAUUUGACAAGUAGUCAAAAGUUCUUAAUAGGCAGUUUGACAUCUAAGAACCCUUUACGAUUCAAAGUUUAAUUCUGAUAAAAAUGUCAAAUCGGUCUGAUCACCAGAAGAAAAUUGUAAAUUGAUUAUUGAAUGUUUCACCAAAUGUAUUGAUGUCUGUUUUAAUAAAAAUGGUUUACGGCAGGGGUCUCCAAACUACGGCCCGCGGGCCGCAUGCGACCGAGGCGACUUUUUAAAGGUUUAAAUUAAUAGUUAAUUAUUGACUAUUUUUAAAGAAAAUGUAAUUGCUGCUUUUGAGAGACGUAGACAAAGCUUAAAUAAUAGAAAGCUGUAGAAGUUUUGUAUGUUAUGUUAGCAUUUUCUUAAAUAGACGAAAAUUAAACGUCCGCAUUAAAUACAAACAACGGAAAAAUGGCCCUCAACACCAUUAUAUGUGAGGCAAUGCGGCAACCGCGAACUGAAAAGUUUGGAGACCCCUGGUUUAAGGGUUUGAUGAGUUUUCAAGGGCGUUCUGCUGUCAAAUGGCAUCCAAGAUGGCCAAACCAAUUUUGGCUAAUACUUGACCUGGUUCCUAAACAGUCCUUGGUCGAUAUGAUAUAUGAAGCUAAGGUCCAGAGGCACCUAACACAUGCGUGGAUACGCAACGACGCACACAACGUCAGCAUCUGCUUUUGAUAGGGGUUCCGCUAGUGAUGGGACACUACGGGCUGGUGGAAUUUCGGUGAUAUUCGUGGAACUUUUCCGUUCGGGUAUUUGCUGUCAAUUUGGGUAAUUUUUUUUUUUUUUACGCUCUUUCGGUUCUGCUCAAGCACGCACGUGGUUUGGUGCUGGAUGGGCUGGAAACCACUGGCCACAUUAAACUGGCUACAUGUAGCCCUUCCAUUUCAUGUGCAGCUCAGCACAAUCUCGACCAUGUGGUUGCAAUGAAACAAGCUUGUAAUCAAAAUUUGCCAUCACGACCGCAUCUUCUUCGGUUCCCUUCUGCUAUGAUUUAAAAAAAUCAUAAAGCCACGAUUUACGUGCUACUUUUACGAUCUGUGAGGUGGUUAACAUGCCACAAUGCCAAAGCGCGCCAUAAAAUCCGGUUUCUACCACCGAUGGUCCUUGUCAAGCAGUUGCCUGACGACAAACACCAUGAGUGUUGUGUGCAAUACAAUACAAAACCUGUCAAUGUUUUACUUUGUAACACACUUUGGAUUGCAAACUAUAGCUUCAAUGUGUUUACAGUGGCAAUGCCUUAUCUCGUGGAUCAGCUACUGGUCAACAGGUCAACAGGCGCUACUGACCAGCGUGCGGGAUGAGAGCAGGAGCAAAGGUGACCGUUGCUGCAGUCCGUCUAUUGUUGCAGUUGGUCGUCGUUAAGAUUUGAACGCAUUUUGACAACUCCGUGCGACGUAUCGCUGAUGCGCAAAACAGACCGCGUGGUCAGUUUGUUUAUACAGCCUGCUUAAGCGAUAUACGCCACAAUGUAAGCGGACGGCACAGCUUGUACAUUUGCAUUAGCUGGGUAUAGACAUGUUAACCAAUUACUUGCACAAAUAUUCAACACGAUUUAUGCACAAAAUUAGGAUAGCAUGUAUGUUUGCACAAUUGCAGGAAACAUGCAAUUAGUUUUGCACUUUACAUGAGCGGCAAAAUUUUGCGGUGUAUCUAGGGCCGAUUGCAUUGUUUCAAUGUUUAACGAAACUUUUAUUUUGUGGCUCGUACACAGUAUGCCAGUGUUCGGGUUGAUGGUGCCACGGGUCUUGAUUGCAGAAUGUUUGCUAUGGUUUUUGAUUGGUGAGGAAGCUGCAAUCGAAAGCGUUAGCGUUUAAUCGUUUGCCCUGCACAUGUCUUUAAAGAGCCUGCCUUUAAAAAUCACCGAGCAAACUGGAGUGCUCUCGGAAUGAUCUGUGCUGGUACACGCCCAACACAAUAAUGAUCCAGGAUUUUACAUAUUCCGAGCGCGUGAGCGCUCAUUCCUUGUAUAGGUCAGGAGUCUCUUAGCUACGGCCCGCGUUGUUUGUGAGCAAUGCGGCCCGUGAGCUGAAAAGUCUGGAGAACCCUGCCAUACUGAGCAACACUCAUGCGAGAUACGGCAUCACACACUGAAGCUCAUCUCACUAAUCAAAACUCAUCUUAAAGAUGAGAGAAGUUUGCAGUCUGUUCUGCCGCGACAAGGUGGAUGCCUUUUCAUUUCUAUUAAAAUUUUAUUAGGAUAUUUACUCCGUGCUCCGUUCUAUUCUGCCAAAAUCGUCUGUCAUUAAACCCUUUAUCUACGCACACGCUCCAUACACAGCCUUUGAUCGCCUUUGUCUUCUUCUUCUAUUUGGCGCGUAACGACAUACGCGGUCAUUCAUGCCGGCCUAUACUACAAAAUACAUUCAAGACUUAAUACUUUCAAGUUACAGGGUUCGAACCCACGACGGGCAUGUUGCUAGGUCGUGCGUGUUGACGACUGUACCACGGGACCGCUCUCUUUGUUUAGACGUUAGUAUUAAUUACGCUUACGGAUACCAAACGCUUCCACUGGAUGCAACGUUACACGGGUGUAUCUGCCACACUAGCACUCGUGCGCAACCGUUUCACGAAACUCUUAUUAAAACACGCUAUUCAACCCCUUCCCACACCACGCAAAGAACUGUAAUAGAUGUGCUGUAUCGAAUAAACCAUAAAGUCACUACUUCAACCAGA